rnacentral:rRNA from 1 species
UACGGAGGAUGCGAGCGUUAUCCGGAUUUAUUGGGUUUAAAGGGUGCGUAGGCGGGAUGCCAAGUCAGCGGUAAAAAUGCGGUGCUCAACGCCGUCGAGCCGUUGAAACUGGCGUUCUUGAGUGGGCGAGAAGUAUGCGGAAUGCGUGGUGUAGCGGUGAAAUGCAUAGAUAUCACGCAGAACUCCGAUUGCGAAGGCAGCCUUCCGGCGCCCUACUGACGCUGAGGCACGAAAGUGCGGGGAUCGAACAGG